rnacentral:rRNA from 1 species
UACGUAGGGGGCAAGCGUUGUCCGGAAUCAUUGGGCGUAAAGCGUGCGUAGGCGGCCCUGUAAGUCCGUUGUGAAAGUCAAAGGCUCAACCUUUGAAAGCCGAUGGAUACUGCAGGGCUAGAGUCCGGAAGAGGCGAGUGGAAUUCCUGGUGUAGCGGUGGAAUGCGCAGAUAUCAGGAGGAACACCGGUGGCGAAGGCGGGUCUCUGGGCCGAUACUGACGCUGAGGAGCGAAAGCGUGGGGAGCGAACAGG